rnacentral:rRNA from 1 species
GCAUGCUUGCUAGCUGCAUUUCCACCCUUCGGGGGUCAGGUGUGGCGAAGGAAACCCGUUAAGCAAGCCGCCUGGGGAGUACGGCCGCAAGGCUAAAACUCAAAGGAAUUGGCGGGGAGGCACACAACCAGAGGAACAUGUGGUUUAAUUCGAAACAAACCGAAGAACCUCACCAGGGUUUGACAUGCAGAUGCUAAUCUUAUGAAAGUAAGACUCCUUCGAGGGUUCUGCACAGGUGCUGCAUGGCUGUCGUCAGUUCGUUCCGUGAGGAGUGCCCUUAAGUGGGACAACGAACGCAACCCCCAUCUUGUGUUACAAGUAUCACAAGAAACUGCCCUUGAGUUCUCAAGGGAGGAAGGAGGGGCAGAUGUCAAGUCAGCAUGGUCCUUAUACCCUGGGCUACACACAUGUUACAAUGCAACGAAACAACGGGUCUCGCGAGCCAGUGAUGGUAAGCAAAUCCCUUAAACCGUUGCUCAGUGGGGAUUGCAGGCUGAAAUUCGCCUGCAUGAACGUGGAUUUGGUAGUAAUCGCGGGUCAGCUAUACCGCGGUGAAUACGUUCUUGCCUCUUGCACACACCGCCCGUCAAGCCAACAAAGUCAUUCAUAUCUGAAUUCCCACUUACGUGGGAAGAGGUUGUGAUUGGCGAUGAGGGUUAAGUCGUAACAAGGUAACC